AACGCAAAUUGCACUCUCUGGUAUUCCGGAGAGUAUGCCUGUUUGAGGGUCAGUUAAAUAAAAAUCGGUGUUUUUGCCACUUUUUGUGGUGAUGCAUCGGAAUUGAGUCGUCUUUACCUUUGGUUUAAGUGGCUUAAAAUUUUGUAUGAUAUUUAACGUAUUUAAAUUUAUUUACUUGCGUUUUGUAAUGUCAACCUAUUAGAUGUGAUCAUUUUCAUGAUUCGCGUCUAUAAUUUUUCAUUAAAUGACCUCAAAUCAGGUAAGAAUACCCGCUGAACUUAA
rnacentral:misc_RNA from 1 species